CUAUUACAGAAUGGUAAAAUAUAGCCCCAGGCCUGAGCAAAGAGAAUUUUGGGAAAUGUAGUUUAUUUAUUCAUUAUAGGGGUGCUUUGUAAAGGGGAGGGAGGGUUCUGGGAACCAUCUCCCUGGGGAGGUCUGAAGUUUUCCAGGGCACCCCAGACUUGGCUGAAAGACAGCCAUUUCUGCCGGCACUGGCAGCAGCUCUCUGUAAAAGCCCGUGCAUUUUAUCUUUGCGUGUUUGUUUUUUCUGCCUGUUGAACACUGGCUCUCAUACCAUCUUGUUCUGUAAUUCAAAACUGACUUUUUAAUUAGGUCUGAAAAGGAAUGGUUUCCAGGCAAUUCCUUUACAAAACUGGCCAUUCAAUGUCCCUUCUUCAGGAAUUUGGAAAAAGGAUGGAGAUGUCUCUCUGAGCUAGACUCGUCAGUGGAGGAAAUGUUACAACUCAUGGACCGUGGCGUUACCAUCUGCCUUAGGAACAGAGCAGCCCCUCUGUCUUCAAGAAAAAAGACUAGAGCACCGGGAGAAGAAAACAGAAGCAAGAUGGGUAAAGAAAUGCCUGGUUGCAGUCCCUCCUGAGACCAGGCAGCAGUUUUGGUAUUGAAUUUCUUUUGAUGUUUAUUGUCCUAAAAAUAAAUUCCUCUUUUUAUUUAUCUUAAAUUGAUGUGUUACUUGGAACCAAAUGACUUAAGUAAUAGAGAAGAGUGUUUGGAUUUCCAAAUAUCUUAGCCCAAGAGAGUGAUUUAGAUAGUUUCGAUGAAAUUUUAUAAUAUGCUGUACUUUCUGGCAGACCAGACUAAUCCAUAAGGGAUGUGAUGAAUGGUGGAGAAUGACCUCAUCAAGUCCCAGUGAAUGUACAUUGUUGGGUAGUUUCCAAACUGGAUGGUUAAUCACCAGCAUUGCCUGGAGGCGCU
rnacentral:lncRNA from 1 species